GACGAACGCUGGCGGCGUGCUUAACACAUGCAAGUCGAACGAUGAACCCGGAGCUUGCUCCGGCGGAUUAGUGGCGAACGGGUGAGUAACACGUGAGUAACCUGCCCUUGACUCUGGGAUAACUGCUAGAAAUGGUAGCUAAUACCGGAUACGACCCUCGGUGGCCUCACCAGGGGGUGGAAAGAAUUUCGGUCAAGGAUGGACUCGCGGCCUAUCAGCUAGUUGGUGAGGUAACGGCUCACCAAGGCGACGACGGGUAGCCGGCCUGAAAGGGUGACCGGCCACACUGGGACUGAGACACGGCCCAGACUCCUACGGGAGGCAGCAGUGGGGAAUAUUGCACAAUGGGCGCAAGCCUGAUGCAGCAACGCCGCGUGAGGGAUGACGGCCUUCGGGUUGUAAACCUCUUUUAGUAGGGAAGAAGCGAAAGUGACGGUACCUGCAGAAAAAGCACCGGCUAACUACGUGCCAGCCGCCGCGGUAA
rnacentral:rRNA from 1 species